rnacentral:rRNA from 1 species
CUAAUACAUGCAAGUCGAACGAGAUCUUCGGAUCUAGUGGCGCACGGGUGCGUAACGCGUGGGAAUCUGCCCUUGGGUUCGGAAUAACUUCUGGAAACGGAAGCUAAUACCGGAUGAUGACGUAAGUCCAAAGAUUUAUCGCCCAAGGAUGAGCCCGCGUAGGAUUAGCUAGUUGGUGAGGUAAAGGCUCACCAAGGCGACGAUCCUUAGCUGGUCUGAGAGGAUGAUCAGCCACACUGGGACUGAGACACGGCCCAGACUCCUACGGGAGGCAGCAGUAGGGAAUAUUGGACAAUGGGGGAAACCCUGAUCCAGCAAUGCCGCGUGAGUGAUGAAGGCCUUAGGGUUGUAAAGCUCUUUUACCCGGGAUGAUAAUGACAGUACCGGGAGAAUAAGCUCCGGCUAACUCCGUGCCAGCAGCCGCGGUAAUACGGAGGGAGCUAGCGUUGUUCGGAAUUACUGGGCGUAAAGCGCACGUAGGCGGCUAUUCAAGUCAGAGGUGAAAGCCCGGGGCUCAACCCCGGAACUGCCUUUGAAACUAGAUAGCUUGAAUCCAGGAGAGGUGAGUGGAAUUCCGAGUGUAGAGGUGAAAUUCGUAGAUAUUCGGAAGAACACCAGUGGCGAAGGCGGCUCACUGGACU